rnacentral:rRNA from 1 species
UAAACGAUAAACCACGAAGUAUCUUACUUAUCCAAAAGUUUUGUAUACCGUUAUUAUUAGAUAAUCUUGAGAGAGUGAAAUAUUGAAAUUUUAAGGAAAAUAUAUUAGAUCAAGGUGCAGAGGAUGGAUAAGAAAAAAUGGGUUACAAUAAUUCUGGGUUAAAUGGAUAAUUGGUUUAAAAUAACUAAUUUGAAGGCGGACUUAAUUGUAAUUAUUGUUUUAAUAAGAGAUAAUGAUAUAAACUCUAAAGCAUGUACAUAUCGCCCGUCGCUCGCGGGAAAA